UUAAAUUGAAGAGUUUGAUCAUGGCUCAGAUUGAACGCUGGCGGCAGGCCUAACACAUGCAAGUCGAACGGUAACAGGAAGCAGCUUGCUGCUUUGCUGACGAGUGGCGGACGGGUGAGUAAUGUCUGGGAAACUGCCUGAUGGAGGGGGAUAACUACUGGAAACGGUGGCUAAUACCGCAUAACGUCGCAAGACCAAAGAGGGGGACCUUUGGGCCUCUUGCCAUCAGAUGUGCCCAGAUGGGAUUAGCUUGUUGGUGAGGUAACGGCUCACCAAGGCGACGAUCCCUAGCUGGUCUGAGAGGAUGACCAGCCACACUGGAACUGAGACACGGUCCAGACUCCUACGGGAGGCAGCAGUGGGGAAUAUUGCACAAUGGGCGCAAGCCUGAUGCAGCCAUGCCGCGUGUAUGAAGAAGGCCUUCGGGUUGUAAAGUACUUUCAGCGGGGAGGAAGGUGUUGUGGUUAAUAACCGCAGCAAUUGACGUUACCCGCAGAAGAAGCACCGGCUAACUCCGUGCCAGCAGCCGCGGUAAUACGGAGGGUGCAAGCGUUAAUCGGAAUUACUGGGCGUAAAGCGCACGCAGGCGGUCUGUCAAGUCGGAUGUGAAAUCCCCGGGCUCAACCUGGGAACUGCAUUCGAAACUGGCAGGCUUGAGUCUUGUAGAGGGGGGUAGAAUUCCAGGUGUAGCGGUGAAAUGCGUAGAGAUCUGGAGGAAUACCGGUGGCGAAGGCGGCCCCCUGGACAAAGACUGACGCUCAGGUGCGAAAGCGUGGGGAGCAAACAGGAUUAGAUACCCUGGUAGUCCACGCCGUAAACGAUGUCUACUUGGAGGUUGUGCCCUUGAGGCGUGGCUUCCGGAGCUAACGCGUUAAGUAGACCGCCUGGGGAGUACGGCCGCAAGGUUAAAACUCAAAUGAAUUGACGGGGGCCCGCACAAGCGGUGGAGCAUGUGGUUUAAUUCGAUGCAACGCGAAGAACCUUACCUGGUCUUGACAUCCACAGAAGAAUCCAGAGAUGGAUUUGUGCCUUCGGGAACUGUGAGACAGGUGCUGCAUGGCUGUCGUCAGCUCGUGUUGUGAAAUGUUGGGUUAAGUCCCGCAACGAGCGCAACCCUUAUCCUUUGUUGCCAGCGGUUAGGCCGGGAACUCAAAGGAGACUGCCAGUGAUAAACUGGAGGAAGGUGGGGAUGACGUCAAGUCAUCAUGGCCCUUACGACCAGGGCUACACACGUGCUACAAUGGCGCAUACAAAGAGAAGCGACCUCGCGAGAGCAAGCGGACCUCAUAAAGUGCGUCGUAGUCCGGAUUGGAGUCUGCAACUCGACUCCAUGAAGUCGGAAUCGCUAGUAAUCGUGGAUCAGAAUGCCACGGUGAAUACGUUCCCGGGCCUUGUACACACCGCCCGUCACACCAUGGGAGUGGGUUGCAAAAGAAGUAGGUAGCUUAACCUUCGGGAGGGCGCUUACCACUUUGUGAUUCAUGACUGGGGUGAAGUCGUAACAAGGUAACCGUAGGGGAACCUGCGGUUGGAUCACCUCCUUACCUUAAAGAA
rnacentral:rRNA from 2 species